CUCGGAUUGAAAAUUUUCAGCGUGAGCUCUUAGUCGCAUCAUUUCAAAAUGUUACCCUUCAAUGUCCCGCUGAGGGAAAUCCUCCACCCAAGUAUACUUGGUCUCCAUGCAAGGCGGGGCAAGUUUGUGAUAAGCCCAAACUCAACCUUGGAGAAGUCCUCAGUGAUGGUGUUUACGCUUGCAGCGUAACCAAUAACUUGGGCAGUGAUGCGGAAAAUGUUACCCUUUUUAUAGCAGCAAAAACAGUAAAUGUAACCCUAGUUGUCACAAGCGAAGAUUGUACUGAAGAAGGAGUUACAAGCUCUGUGAAGGAAAAGCUCAUUAAAUUGAUUGAUACCAUCUUUGAGCCCUCAG